rnacentral:rRNA from 1 species
CCUACGGGAGGCAGCAGUGGGGAAUAUUGCACAAUGGGGGAAACCCUGAUGCAGCGACGCCGCGUGAGUGAAGAAGUAUUUCGGUAUGUAAAGCUCUAUCAGCAGGGAAGAAAAUGACGGUACCUGAUUAAGAAGCCCCGGCUAACUACGUGCCAGCAGCCGAGGUAAUACGUAGGGGGCAAGCGUUAUCCGGAUUUACUGGGUGUAAAGGGAGCGUAGACGGCAGCACAAGUCUGGAGUGAAAUGGCGGGGCUUAACCCCGGAACUGCUUUGGAAACUGUGCAGCUAGAGUGAAGGAGAGGUAAGUGGAAUUCCGAGUGUAGCGGUGAAAUGCGUAGAUAUUAGGAGGAACACCAGUGGAGAAGGCGGCUUACUGGACUGUAACUGACGUUGAGGCUCGAAAGCGUGGGGAGCAAACAGGAUUAGAUACCCCAGUAGUC